rnacentral:lncRNA from 1 species
GAGAGCGGCGGCUCCUCCUCUGGGCCGGCGGGGGCGGGCGCGCCGGGACUGUGCACGAUGAAGCAGAGCAUGCAGGGCCCGCGGAAGAAGCAGUCCCGGCUCCGGGGUGCCGCCGGUUGAGGGGCACCUUGGCUGGGGUCCGGCAGGGCAGCCUGAGGAGAGGAGCGCCGGCGGCGGCACCAACUGCAACAGCGAGGCCUCUUCUGGCUCGGGCGGUUACGCGGCUCCUUCGAGAGAAGGGGAAUCUUCCAGGGCCCCAGAGCAGUGUUUGAGGACUUAUUACAGAUCCUUUGACAUCUCUACUCGGCUGCACUUUCACAAAAGGUUAUAACUCUGUCAUCCCGAUUAAAGUGGGCAGUGGCACAAUCAUGGCUUACUGCAACCUCAGCUUCCUAGGCUCAAGCGAUCCUACUACCUCAGCCUCCUGAGUAGCUGGGAAUACAGAUUCUUGCAAGUGGCUGGUUCCAGAUGGAGUCCACGACCGAAAUGAGAACUUCUUGCCUGCUCUUUCCCAAUUGGUUCUUUCAGAAUAAUGCUUUUUAACCAAUCAAAUGUUGCCUUUUUCAAGGCUACUCACAGCCCACACUUCCCCAGUUCUGAGCCUAUAAAAACCUCAGACUCAGCCACAUGGGGCUAUCUGCCUUUGGGUGGGGACAGCCCACCUUCAGGUGGGGGACUACCCACUUCAGGUCUGUCUCUGCUGAGAGCUAUCCUGUCACUCAAUUAAACUUCUCAAUAAAAUAAAGCCUGCCAGGGCCAAGUGGGCAGCACAAGUCUAGUGGCAAUAAAACUUCUCCACCUUUCUCACUCUCUGGUUGUCUGUGUAACCUCAUUCUCCUUGGAUGAGGGACAAGAACCCAGGACCAUGGAACAGUGGGUACAAAAGGAACUGUAGCACAGAUGAGCUGCGAUCCUUGUGGGGCCCAGACCUCAGGACUCCCUGAGCCAGAGCUCUAACACACUAACACCCAUUUUGGGGUUCCAUGGUUGCUGGUGUCUCCAAGUUUUUUGGUCACCAUCGUGUUCCCCUUGUCCAGACACCAGCACCCAGGGAAGAAGCUACUUGUGGUACGCCUGGUCCAGCCAUAGCCUCACGCAGAGCCAGCGCCUGGGGCUGCCCGCCCUGCUGCAGCAGCCAGCAUGCCUGGCUUACUCUUAGUGGGCAUGAGAUCCAGGCUGGUAGCAUGAGCCAAGCACAGCCUGCCAGGGCCGAGUGGGCAGCGCAAGUCUAGUGGCAAGCCCAGAGCUGAGCAAAGCCCAGACAGGAGUGCUACCAGCCACGGAAAUUUCCGGCUGGGAAGCAGCACCCAAAAAAAAUCCUGUGUCACUUAUACCAUAUACAAAAAUCAGUUCAAGGUGGAUUAAAGACUUAAAUGUAAAACCCAAAACUAUAAAAAUCCUGGAAGACAAUUAGGUAAUACCAUGAUGGACAUAGGAAUGGGCAAAGAUUUCAUGACAAAGACACCAAAAACAAUUGCAACAAAAGCAAAAAUUGACAAGUGUGAUAUAAUUGAGCUUACUGGUUACUGGGCAUAAAUUCCUGGGCAAUGAAAUAAUCUAUACAACGAACCCCUGUGACAUGAAUUUACCUAUUUAACAAACCUUCACAUGUACCCCUGAUUCUAAAAAAUAAAAAUAAAUUUAAAAAAAAAGAC